GCAGGCUUGACCGAGAGGUUUAUGGUAGCGGCCUUGAACCCCGAAGGGCGAGAGCCCCGCAGGUUCGAAUCCUGCAGCCUGCGCCA
rnacentral:tRNA from 1 species